ACAAAGACAUUUUCUUGGUGGAAGUGGAAACAAAAAGCGGGCUCUUUUUGAACGGCGUUUCACAGACACCAUUAAAGCUCUCAGUCAUGCUGUUUGCCCGUUGGCUCAACUAGUGGGAAAACUUUGAGGACCGUUAACUGGAAGUCUGACGCGUGGGUGCAGUUCCAGUGUAUUUCACUUUGGUUCUCCCAUCACACCCUGGUGGUCUGUCGCUGUGAAUCGCCCGCUGUACAUGGCAAGUAGGGAUGCUCCGAUUGAUCGGCCACCGGUCGAUUUCCGUGAAAAAGCAUGUGAUCGGCAUAUGCCGAUAAAUGCCUUUCAAAGUAUGUACUAUGUACACCUCGCAUCCAAAGUCUCCUUCAAGAAGGCGUCUCAUCCUCUGGAAGUUUCACCAGUGAUACAUGUUGUCUUGAAAAAGUAAGUCAAAUAUGUUUUUGUCUUAACAAAGGUGAUGUCAUGGUUCCUUUUUUCAUAACAUAUAGGCAAUAGCAGGGGUGCAACCGCAAAUUUUGGGCCCUAUGAAAAAAAAAAAAUCAUAUUGGCCCGCCCCCCAAUAAUUACCUAUUUUUUGCCCCCCUUCAGUUAAGGGACCUUGGAAUUGUCCUAACUUUUCCCCUUUAUACAGCACCACGGGGCCAAUAAACUCCAUCCAUCCAUUUUCUAUCCCGCUUCUCCUCAUUAGGGUUGCUGGGGCAUGCUGGAGCCUAUCCCAGCUGACUUCGGGAGACAGGCAGGGUACACCCGGGACUGGUCGCCAGCCAAUCACAGGGCACAUAUAGACAAACAACCAUUCACACUCACAUUCAUACCUAUGGACAAUUUAGAGUCGCCAAUUAACCUAACAUGCAUGUUUUUGGAAUGUGGAAGGAAACCCGAGUACCCGGAGAAAACCCACGCACGCACGGGGAGAACAUGCAAACUCCACACAGAGAUGCCCAACGGAGAUUCGAAUCCACGUCUUCCCAUUCUCCUGACUGUGACUGUGUGGCCAACAUGCUAACCACUAGCCCACCGUGCGGCCGCCAAUAAACUCAUCAUAAAUAAAUGUAAAAAUGUAUACUUAAUCUAUGUGAUCGGUAUCGGCUGAUUUCACUCAUGGAUGAUCGGAACUGGCAGCAUAAAACCCUGAUUGGAGCAUCCCUAAUGGCAACACAAGACACCCAUUCAAAGGCUAGAAAUGAACCACGUUCCUAAUGACCCGCUUAUCCUGGCAUUAUGUAAUCAGUCUACGAAGGCUCAAAUGUGAGGAAGAGAGGGGGCACGGGCAUAAUGGAGAGCGGAGGUCACAUUGGACUUCAGCUCUUGAGUUUGUUGUUUUGCGAUGUACAUCAACAGCAGGAAAGACUGCCUGAGUCUGUUGGACAAUACAUUUUUUGAAUUUGGUUAAGAAUGAAACAAAUGUGGAAAAUAGCUCAGAGCAUAGUGGAACAUCUGUCUGUGUUCAAGGUAUGACCCUCCACUCUUCGUAGUUGCUGCUGCUUUUGGUUGCUUGUUCGGAAAUCCAAGCCAUAAGCAACUAAAUUCAUGUUUGGUUUUCAAAUAUUUAUCAUUUAAUGACUUUUUGAUGGUGCUCACCCUGACAAAUGAACACCUAUUUCUGUGUUUGAGGUUGAACCAUUGCUCCCCAAAGACCCACAUCAGGGUCUUUAUAUUUCUGUAGCCUACCCUGCAGCCUUCCUAUCGGCUGUCUUCACAGACAGGUAGCCAGCAUAUAGCUUGGAUAUGGAGCGGUAUUAGACUUUAUUAAACAUGGGUUCUGUGCUGUGGAAGCCCCUUCUGAUAUAAGAUCAAAAUUUAACAUUCCCUCCUUUGAUGUCGGCACUACUUUACCCCCAAGUACAUGAUAUGGGAGGAAGGGAAAACAAGCAUGUUGUAAUUAUGGGAGAACUCAUUUCUCCUGACUUCCUGUUAUUGAGAACACGCUGCAAAUAGGCUGAUGGCACGGUAUCAGGCACAUUAACAAUGUUUCCUCUUCCACUUUGAUGUGCUGAGAAACAGCCACACACACACACACAUGCACGCACACUCAUACACAAUGGCAGUUUCACAAGGAUAAAUGAUGGCGGGAGGAACUGGUAGUGAGUGAAAUGAGGAGACUCGGCACAUUCGGAGUGAAAAGUGAUGGAUCUUUAAACUAUAACUCCGCUGGUUUGGCCUGAAUUGAAUUGGUGUCUUCUUCUUGAACUGUUCCUGCUAAAUUGACCACAAAAUUCAAGCAUACAGGGGUUCCUAUGUUUGGAUCUGCUUCAGAUGUUUUCGGGAUAUGGCUGCAAGAAAAAGACGCUGGUUCAAGUCUGGUUCAUGGAAACAGCAGCUUCCUAGCUUGCAGUCUUUGUAUGUUUGCAAGUUUCUCGCCGACAAAACCCACAAUGUUGACGAAACAUUCUGCGCCCAAAAGGCAGAGGAGGAUGCUCACCAUUUCUGGACAUGCUGACGGAAUGUAGUGGAGUACUACAGCAAUAUGAUUUAACAAGGACACAAAACCGCUACAGUGCCAGGACGAAAAGGCACGGUCAGAGGACCGAAAUAUGCGUGAGUCACCUUAAUAAUUUCUUGUCUCCAACCUCGCUUACCAUUAAAAUUCAAAUAAAGGUUUGAACUUUUUGUUGAGUGUUUAAACAAGAGAAAAAUGUGAGACAGCGGUAAUGCCUGUCUGAGAAAAGUGUAUCAAGUGUAUGGUGAAGGGUUUUACAGCCUUAAAACAUAUAUAAUCAUUGUAAAAAAAAAAAAAAAAAAAAAAGUUGGCUACUUCAUGGAUUUUAUGGAAUAUA